GAGACACUUAACUGUUUCACAGUCAAUGAUUUACACCCGGGAGUGGAGACAGACCGCCAAAGCUUUGCUGGGCUGAGCCCAUCAUAACUGUACGCUGGACUGAAAAGAAGACUAUAAUACGAUGGUCUUCCUAUACUAGAGGGGAACUUCAAAGUGAACCACAACAGCAGUAGCACGAACUGUGUGAGCAGCAGCUACAGCUUAAAAGUGGAUCCACAGAAACAUCCUCAUGGAAUGUUGACAAGGCGCUGUCUCAAGGGGAAUGAGGGCAGACGUUUUGUUGCGGCACGCAUAGGCAGACCAUGACUGUUACGUCUUGGAACACACCUCUGGAGUACCUAAAUACAGGCUCGGGAGAGGCGAAGGUCAAAAUAUGCAUCCUUCAAAACAUGACCCGCCAAGCCACGCUUCUUAACACCUGCCCGCUUACCCCGGAAGCCAACUGCACCAGUGUGUGGGAGUAAACAUUGUUCAACUGACGACUGAAGUCAGCCUGCAGGUGCCCGGCACGGCACAAGGAGUCACUAGAGCACGA